CCUUCUGGUGAAUAUGUAGUUACAGUUCCCAGGCUUUAAGAACCUUGUGGACUAGGGAGGACCCGAAGAUGCCUGCCCCUGCUCUUGACUGACAGGUGACUUGGCCUUCAGGACACACUGGAAACCAAAGAAGCUGGAUUCUGACGGCAGCAGUGGAGGCUGGCACACCAAAGAGCGAAAAGUGAGGCAAGGAAGCCAGCUUGAGAUUUCCUCAGACCACCUCAUCUCUGGGCUGCCUGCCAGAAGAGGCUGCCCAUUCUGGGAGAGGGCCUUCUUCCCUCGGUUGACCUUGAGAUGCCCUUGCAGCACCCCCCAAAGGCAGGACCACAUAUCCAGGAAUCACAUUGGCUACAGUGAGCUGGCCCUCUGAGGUCAGUUCACAAUCAAGAAAAUGCCCCCAGGGACAUGCUCACAGACUAGGCUGAUGGAGGCCAUUCCUCAAUUGAGGUUCCUUCAUCCCAGGAAGACCAUCCUGGAGAUGUCCUUAGUCACUGAAGUCCUGGAAUAAGCUGGAGGCUGGGCUUUGCCUGUCUGUCCCAUUUGAAUCACUUAGGGAAUCUAGACUAAAUUCAGACUCUGAGUACAACUACUUUAACCCUAAACCCUAGGGGUUUGCUUCUGCACAUGUCUUCUCAAGGAGAUUCAUGAAGGUGAACAAACUGUUCCAGGGUUGAUGGUGACACCCAACAGGUUAUGUCCACAACCUAAACCCCCAAACUUAAGGGUGUGACUUUUGGCUGAAAAAAGUCUUUCUCCUUGUAUAAUUUUUGGUUUUGGAUGCUGAGCGUUUGUCAUGUGGGCCUCAGCACAGUUGCAUGCAUCCUGAGAAGAUGACCAGAGAUGAGGAGACAGAAGAAGAGGCAGUGUGACAAGACCAUGAAAGAGAGAAAGGACGAAGUAUCCCUCCCAAGCCUACAUUCCUGACAUUUGGCUUCCAGUGUUGUAAGAGAACAGGCAUCUCCUGUUUUAGAACGCCUUGUGUAUUAUCAUUUAAGGCAAUCCUGAGAGACUAACCAAUAGUAAAUAAGCUUAUUCUUGCUAUUGCUGGAGGCAACAGUGUGGGCAACCUUAAAUGCAAAUAGACACAGUCCUCUCUGUCUGGAGUCUUCAUGCACUAGCAUUUUGGGCCAGUUGACUGCUGUACCUGAGAAGUGCAGGCCUCCAGGGUGCAAGGAUGUCAAACAGCAGCCUCCUUCCUAUAGCAAUUUUGGUGGUCUUGCAGGUUGGACAUGUGAGGGGGCUUAUCAUUGAGAUACUACCGGUCUUUUGACUAGGCACCAGGGACUCUGUAUCCAUUUCAUCAAGCUGGGAGGAGUUUCCUUAAUGAGAGCCCAGGAUCCCUGGAGGGUGUUCUUCCUGGACUUGGCCACUUAGAGAGAUUGGGGGUGGGGGGUGGCCACAUGAAAGUGAAGUCACUGGAGUUGUACAAGAGAAUUAGAAGAGCAGGAAAUGUGCAGUGUGGCCUCUCAGCGUCUUCCGCUGUGACCUUGGGCAUGACCCUUCUGCUGUCUUGGUGUAAACUUUCUCCGCCUCCCAAAGGAAGCAAUUGACCUUUGAGUUCUGGCUUCAGUGUUGAAGAGUUUAUGUAUCGGGGACCCUGCAAUAAGACAGACUAUUGUGAACUGAUGACAUCCCCCACAGACACGAUGAGGAAAAGAAAUGUGGUCCCUGGAGAGUAAUCGAGCUAUGCAGAUGCUCUGUAAAUAUGAGACAUGGCAUUGAUUUUUCGGAAUGUCAGAAGCUGUAAAGUAAAUCUCAAA